GUUAAAAUCCUGAGUAGACAGCAAAGGCUGCUGCUGUUGCAUGUACAUGCUGCCUCUUUUGAUGAGAGCAUUUGCGCGAAGCUACAUAACCAAAAUGAGAAAAGUAUACAAGUCUUUUUUUUUUUCUUUUGAGAGAGAGAGAGAACACCACAUUUUGACAUUUUGAGUGAAUCUUUGUACAGGGUGUAUGAUAAGCAUCAUUACUACUUGCCAUUAAAACAAAAAGUUAUGGUCAUGAAGGAAGAAAUAGGUUUCUUCUCCAAAAAAAUUUUUUUGAGGUAAAAGUACAUGUAAAUUUUCUUUCGAUGAAAUAAGAACACCCCCACAAUUUUAACAAAAACAGAACAUAUUUGUGAUCACUAGGAAAUAAAAAUAAAGAUCAUAUUAUUAGUGUAUCUUCAAUUUGAAAACCUCAUUUUAAAAGGAACUUUUUUUUUUUAAAUAUAAUUUAUUGUCAAAUUGGCUAACAUACAGUGUGUAAAGCGUGCUCUUGGUUUUUGGUGUAGAUUCCCGUGGUUCAUCACUUACACACAACACCCAGUGCUCAUCCCAACAAGUGUCCUCCUCAAUGCCCAUAACCCAUUUUCUCCUCUCCCCCACCCUCCCAUCCACCCUCUGUUCUCUGUAUUUAAGAGUCUCUUAUGGUUUGCCUCCUUCCCUCUCUGUAACUAUUUUUUUCCCCUUCCCUUCCCCCAUGGUCUUCUGUUAAGUUUCUCAAGAUCCACAUAUGAGUGAAAACAUAGUAUCUUUUUCUGACUGACUUAUUUCACUCAGCAUAAUACCUUCCAGUUCCACCCAUGUUCCUGCAAAUGGCAUGAUUUCAUUCUUGCUCAUUGCCAAAUAGUAUUCCAUUGUAUAUAUAAACCACAUCUUCUUUAUCCAUUCAUCAGUUGAUGGACAUUUAGGCCCUUUCCAUAAUUUGGCUAUUGUUCAAAGCACUGCUAUAAACAUUGGGGUACAUGUGCCCCUAUGAAUCAGCACUCCUGUAUUCCCUGGGUAAAUUCCUAGUAGUGCUAUUGCUGGGUCGUAGGGUAGUUCUAAAAGGAACUUUUAAUAAUACUUAGUUGUAAUUAUUUUUGUUUAUAAGAAGUUAAGAUAGUUUGUUAAAAAUUCAGGCCCUGAAAAUAACUUUUAUAUUCCACAAAAUACAUGAAUGAAUUAUCUGGAGGUGAAAAAAGACAGAAUUCACUUAAUUCACUGAGCAAACAGGCCGAACAAAUGUAACAAACUAGUAAGAAAUUUUAGUUAAUUGGUAGCUAAGCUUUGUCUUGUUAACACUGAGUAGAAGACUCAUAUAAUUCAACAGGUCCCCCUAAAUCUUAAUUAUGAAAAUAAUUAUGUACACAUAAGAAUACCUGGAAGAUAAAAAGCUGUUCCAACUGCGCAACUACAAAAACUUUUGGUAUAUUUCAAUAUAUCUCUAUAUCAUAUUUUUAGAACCUAUUUUUUAAUUCAUGUAACAAAAAUCUUUCAGAUUAAAUGUGUUUAUUUUAUUGAAUGCAUUUUAUAAUCUUGUAUUCCCUAUUGUAUUUUUAUUUACAGUAUUACCUAUAGCACUGCUAUAUCACCCUUACCCCUAUCCAAAUAUAGUCUAAUACAGUAAGCAGUGGCUAUAACAGGAAGCUCAAGUUACCAGACGCCAUAGAAAAAAGAAAAAAACAAUCCUUUUCUAGCUAAAGAUAAACAUCACUCAUAUUUAUGUUUCAGUUUCACCAUACUGACCCAAUCAUCAUUAGGGGUAGUUCCUUCCAAAAUAAAAACAGCCUUUUGGAGAAUAGCAACUAAAAUUUGAAAAUUUGGGAAAACCUGUAAGUCCCUUUUUUUAAUCAAUUUUUACACACACACACAUUUUUAAAUGUACCUUCACAUUAGCUUCUUUCAAACUGAUGACCUUAUCUAAAUCUGGUUUGGCCGCAUUGGCAUUGCCAAUAAGCAGGUAGAAGGUGGCUCGUAGUAAUAAUGCUUCUGCCAUGUAUUUGCCUUGAGCAUCUAUUUCUUUUGAGCAUUCACUUAUGAUUUUAUCGUAGUUUUCUUCUUCCAUAUACUGUUUGGCCCUUAGAUAUCCAGAACUGAAAAUAAAAAUGAACAUAGGAAAUUAUUUACUAAGGAAGGAUCAAAUACUGAAACUUCAACAUUUCGUAUGCUAGAGUUAAUCAACUAUCUACUUCCCCUUAACAUUCCAGUAUAGGACUGGAAUGGGGUGGUGUGGUGGUGGAGGAAUAACUGAUUAGGAUUUCUGAUGCGGACUGGGAUUUUUCUCGAUGUCUUGGAGACUAGGAAAAAAAGGUAAACAGCAGAGUCAACAGCAGAAACCGAGGGUUACUGCCCAGGCUUCGACAUUUAUAUAUGUUAAAGGAUGAGCUACUGACUGACUGAUCUGCAUCAUGGAUAAGGAUCCAGUCUUAAUCACCUUCACACCUGUGGCAUACUGAUGUCACUCAACAGUUAUUUUAUGCCUAACAGAAAGAACAGAGAAUUAGGAGAUAAUUAAGUUUAGGUCACAUAAGCCAAGGGAAGAGAUGUGACCUGAUCUCUGCUUGGUAGAGAACACUCUGGCUAUGUUGUAGAAAAUGCACUGUCAAGGAGCAAUACUGGAGGCAGAGAAUUAUCUGAAGGACUCUCACCCAGAAGUUGUGUUGUUUACAAAACAGACCUAGAAUGAAUAGGUGGAAAUAUCAAAGAAGCAAAUUUAAGGGAAGAUUCUUCUAUUAAGUAGGACUUUAAAAAAAAAUCACCGUUCCCUAAAUUUUUACAGUGACAUCAGUAUUCUUCUAAGAUGACUAGCUGACCUUUAAGGGGUCUUACAAAUAUAAGUCUCUGUAAGUUAAAAUACAUUUCUCAUUUCCUUCAUUAUAUAUCCUGAGUAGAGAAAACUGGCAAGUAACUUAUCAGUCAAAAUCUUGUAACUCUGCUAACUUCUCCUAUAAUUACAUGGUAAUAUUCCCUGCACUCUAACUUCACUGCAAUUUUUCUAGCAAGGAAUGUUCCCUAACCCGAAGAGGAAAUUAUUGGCAUGGUCUUCAACAUUUACUUCUGUACUACAAUUUUCUGAAAAGACUGUGUAUCAACUACAAUUAUACAUGGUAUCCUCCCUUAAAAGGUGGCCAACAUUGGUUGAAAAAUUAGGGACAUAUAAAUCAAAAGCAAUGUUUCCUCAAACUUUCCAAUAUUCCAUGGACACAAAAUUAUGCUCUGCUACUAGAACAAAUAUUCCCUUUUCUUCCCAACUCAUUAAAAAAUGUCAUGUUGGUAAUAAUAUUAUACCUUCUCUUAGAAAGGAGAGCUAACCUUAACAGCAAAACACAAUACUGAUAAAUAUAAAUGGAUGAGCAGACUAGGUGACUUCUAUACAUACAUGACUUGAUCCUCAGUUGUAAACACAGCAUCUUGUACUUUGGUUUCAGUUUUCUACAGAAACAGACACAAGAAGCCCAAAGAAUGGCUAGGCAAGCAGGAAAAACUUGGAAGAAAGUCACUCUAUGGGGCACUCCUAAGCAUCUCACAGUUAUAAAUUAUAAACUUCCCUGCACUAAAACAUCUGUAUGUUGAGCUACAUGAUAAUUUUCAAGUUAGUGCCCCUAUUCAAAUACAGUCAACUAUUUGACUCACUGGGAAUCCUCUUGAGAGUAUCAUGUGGUACUACGUAGACACUACAGUUGAUAAACUUACUUUUCUUUAACUUCUGAGGCCUCUCCUUCCUUGUCUUUAUCUUCAUCAGACUUCUCUCCUUUAAGCAUGGGCUGAGAAAUUAUAUCAUCCGUGAAAGAACUGAAGUAAGAUUUGAUAAACUGUGGAGAUGGCAUCAGAGGUUCACGAUUCUGAAAUUCAAUCACAUUUAAAUAUUUCAAAAUGAGAAAACACCGACCAAAGAAGCAGGUACAUUUGUACAAUACUGAGAAUGACUGCUGUAAAAACUAGGAUCUCAUUCUCAAAUAACUGAAGAAUAUCAGACUGCAAACCACAGGACAAGAGACAGUGGAACUGGUAAAGCUACUCAUCCCAGUUGUUCAAAGCAGGUUUUAAAUGACACCUCUCCUCUCCAAAGAUGUAAAAUAUCCAGACCUCCUAGGACUACAUGUUAAAGUCCAAGAAAGUGAAAUCUCAAACACAGGAGGCAAAUAACUGCCGAGUUAAAAAUUAUUUCCUGGGGCACCUGGCUGGCUCAGCUGGCAGAGCAUGCAACUCUUGGGGGUGGUACGUUUGAGUCCCACCUUGGGUAUAGACAUUACUUAAAAAUGAAUUUUUAAAAAAUGUAAUAAAAAAUAAAAAUUAUCUCCUUCUGGUCUCUGUUCUAGAUCAGCAUCUUAAUUUACCACUCAAGACCACAUCUUACACAGGUGCUAUAAUGUUAAGUCCAUUUACCAUGGGCUUUCAUCUGACCUCCAGCUGUACUGCAUCUGAAGAUCUCCAUUACAGUAAAUGCCACUGAAAGUCUGAAUGAAAUCACAUUUCUUGUUUUAAUUACUUUUUGGCAUGGCAACGUGAUUCACCAUUAUAGAAUUAUUUCCUUUUAGUCCAAUUAGGAUAAAAUCUUCAAGAGGGUACAGGGAAUAACAUAACCAUAGGGCCCUUAUAUUUUGGAUCCUUUAUCUUGAAAAUCUAACCCAAAGAUUUUUAAGUUGAAAUACGGUAUUUUAAAUUGUAUGCAUAAUAAAUACCAUUCCUGUUUUUUUGGCAGAUUCAAUGCCUUUGUAUUUGAAGAAGGACAAAAAGGAAUUUGGCUUUUUUCUUUAUUAAGUUUAUUCUGAGAGAGCGAGUGAGAGAGAGAGAGGAGAAGACAGAGCAAGCACAAGCAGGGGAGGGCAGAGAGAGGGAGAGAGAAUCCUAAACAGGCUCAAUCCCACUAACCAUGAGAUCAUGACCUGAACUGAAAGCAGGAGUUGGAGGCUUAACCUACUGAGCCACCCCAGCACCCCAAGGGAAUUUGGCUUUGUAAGUAAAUUAUCUAAUCUAGAAUAGAUGAGAUUGGGAAAGAAGACAAAGGAAAUCUUAGGGAAAGCCCUAUUUUUAUGGGAGAAAUUCAAUGUCUUCAUUUAGGAUUAUAUAGGUUAAUACUGUAAAUCAAUUGGUCACCCAUCAAAUGACAAGUAUGCUUAACUUCAGUAUUUCACUAAAGAUUGUAUAGGAAUAUAUAGUGGCAAUCAUUUGCCACUUUAAAUAGCAGUUGCUGAAGACAGACUAAAUCAUUACUUUUAGUUUACUAUUUCAGCUUGGAAAAGGUAUCUUCCUGCCUUCCACACAGAAUUACACGUUUAAAAUAAAUACAAUGGAAGUGAUGGACUUAAGUAACAAAGGAAUAAGAUACAAGUUCCAGCUGUGCCACUAAUUAGCCAUGUGACCCUGCACAUGUCACUUUCAGUUUUCUUAUCUGUAAAAUGGCAACAAAUAUACUUGCCUUAUUUUUCUCAUAGGGCUGUUGUAGAAAUAAAAACAAUAACAUGAAAAGUAUUUUGUGAUUUACAAAGGUAGCAUAUGAACAGUGGAGAGGCUCCUGGCUGUCUCAGUCACAAGAGCAUACGACUCUUGAUCUCGGGGUUGUGAGUUCAAGCUCCAUAAUGGGUGUAAAGAUUACUUAAAUAAAAACUUCAAAGAAAAUAUAAGUGGAAACUAAUUUGGAACCUAUGUAAAUGUGGGUUAUCUUGUAUUUUCUGAGCACCCUGAAGACCAACCAAUAUAAUCACUCCACAAUAACAUUAUAAAUAUACACAAGGAAAUUAGGCUCCCUCAAGGUUGUGAGACUAUUAAAUGAUAUUUUACAGUACUGUGAGGAAUCCCAGUUCUAGGAAAUGCUCAAGGGGAAAAAAAGCACAGUUUAAAGAGACCGAGAACAACUACAGCUAUACUCCUCUCCAAGAUUCACAACAUAUCCUAGCACAUGAAAGUCCUGCAGUGAAGAAACCCAUUUUAACUGUUUAACUCAGCUAAUAUUGAGGGGUGUAAAAUUUAAAAAACACACAACUUAUUAAAAUCAACUUAAGGGAAACAUUAUUCUUAAAGAAAAAAGGAACAAUUGCCUUGAUAUUACUGAAGUUUAGCAGAAAUUUUCCAGUGACAGAUAUUUAGUGAUGCCUGUGGUAAUCCCAUGACACUACUUCUAUCCCUCAUGACACUUCCCCACAUCAUGCCUUUUAUACUUAUUAAUGGUCUCUCUCACUAAACUGUAAUUCUGUAAGGGCAAGGACCAUUUAUUUCUAAAAUGGCCACCAUGGAGUUUUGUUCAAUAAGGCUUCUUGAAUUAAAUUAUCUGUUACAGACUGCUUAAAACCAAUGCCAAUUUAUACAGUAUACGCUUAAAAAUAUACCUUUAAUGAUAUAGACAGGGCCUGGCAAAUUGUUUCUAUAAAAGACCAGAUAGUAAGUAUUUUAGGCUUUACAGGCCAUGCAGUCCCUGUCACAACCACCUCACUCUGCUGUUUUAGCUUAAAAGCAGCCAAAAAUGAUGGCUGAGUGCUGUGUUCCAAUAAAAUUUUAUACAAACAGGUGGCAGACUGGAUGCGGUCCAUAGGCUUUGUUUGGCAACCUCUAAUACAGAUGAAUUCUUUCAGUAUUCUCCAGAUACAAUAUUGCAUAUAGUCUACAUUCUUCUUUUAAAAAGAUAAGCCACAAAAGCCCAAUAUUACAGAAAAAGAAGUGUAACACAGAUCUAAUUUCAGUUGUUACCACUGCCAUCAUGCCCAAGUUCAAGCAGUGUAAAUUAAAAUGACUCUUCACAAUGUAUAUCCCCUCUAUUAACCAACUUAGAUUUACCUUAUAUUUUUCUUUGGCUUUCUCUUUUCCAAGAAGUUUAAGAACUUUAUCAGCUAACAGCAUGCUUUGUUGAUUUUGGAACCCUUCUAGUAUACACACAGCAGUGACAUCUAGAGAUGAUGGAAAAAACAAAAGUAUAAAAUUAUUGCAAAGAUGAUUAGCAGCAUCAAAUGGGCACCAUGUACCACAGAAAGCCCAACCAAAUUGAUGGCCUGAUGUAGCUAUCAAUUCCAUUUCCAAUAAUUUGCUUCUCAACACUUUAGUUUUAUAUACUCUAUAACUCAAACUCGAAACUCAGAAAUUCAUUCCACUUCUCUGGUUAUUCACUUUUCUCACCUGUGAAAUCCAAGGAACUAUCCUGUAUGGUUUGUGACGUUUCUUACCACCCUCACAUUCUACAUAGUAAAUAAAUGAAGAAUCCAGGAAGACUCCCUUGUGCCCAGCACCUAAAGGCCUUAUCAAUGUAAUGUGGCUUUAUCAUGUCUGAUUCUUUUUAUAGACCUCACAAGUUAUUCCUUGUGUCCAAAGCCAUCUUGCCAGGGAGCUCUCAAUUAAAUCUGCUUCAAAAUACCAUUUUCAUCUGGUUAUGCCACAGCUCAAGAUAAAGUGGUUUGAAAUUUAAAAGAUCAGUGGUUCCUGAACCUCUCAACUUUUAAAGUAUUCAAGCAUUGGCUGUUCCCACUCUUUCUGAAUUCAAUUUCUCAGAAUUCCAAAUCUUUGCUCCUCCAAACAAGUCAAUCUGUUCAUAUGUUCCCCGGAUAACCUGGCUAAUGCCAAAGUCAAUGUCUUUUUCCCAUCUCAGUCCACCUAUCUAAAAUCCACUUAAUCAGCUUUCUGCCAAUUAUUAACUGGUAAUAACUUCAGGGGCUGGCUCAAAACUCAGAAUUCUCUUUUUCCAAAGCAACAGUCCUUCUACCCAUCACCAAAAUACACACCACCACAAAACCUCAAAUUUUUCUAAAAUGUUCUCUAAACCACUCUCACUUGGUAAUCCAGACUUUUAAAAAUAAAAUGGAUUUUUCCUUUUAAAUAAUGUUAUUUUAAAAAGUAAUUAUGGCUAAAUCUGAUUAUUGAUGCUUUUAAAGCAGAUUUAGCUUGUAGAAAUCACUUUGGUUUAGCUCCACGUCACCCACAAAAAUGUACGUUAAAAUAAGCCAGUAGCCUAUAUUCUAAUUGGAGUUUUAGAAGCAGAUAUGGCCAAUUAGAGGCUGCAGAAUAUUUACUUACAGAAUUUAUCAGAAUGGCAAAUUCACCUGAUGCUUUGUACCAAAUACAUAAUUUCCAAUUGGGUAUAAAAUAAUGUUUGAAAAUACCAAGCACAAAAAUACAAAUGUUUUCUUUAAUGACUCAUCUGAAAAUUAUUUCAUGUUUAUAUAGGACAUUAACUGAAAAUAUGUAGAAUCUUGGCAACACUAUCACUUACUAAAACCUCUUUUCUGAUUUAUCAUGGAAUUACACUGAUGCUCAUUAAUUUCCAAGUUAAAAAUGUAUGGUAUAUAAACUUCAAAUCUUAAUACUAAUUUAGUCCCAUAAUUGAGAACAGAAACAAUACUCAAGUAUCAGAAAUCUCAAUUUAAAUUAGAAAACAAAUUCUCAGCUGGGGAAGAAUCUAACUUUUAAAUACAAGUGAUUUCUCUACUUCAUAUAAACUUACCAAUGACUACAAAGCCUUAUAUAAUUUUCAUAUGUAAACACAAAAAUACCCUCACCUUCUAAACAUUCCUUCUUAUUGUCUAGCUUCUCGUGGGCUUUUGCACGUCUAAAGAGAGCUUUCACAUAUUUGGGAUUAAGUUCAACAGCCUUUGUACAAUCUUGUGCCACCUCUUUCCAUUUUUGCUGUAAUUGAAAGUAUUAAAAAAAGUCACACUAAAGGAAUCGCUGUUCAACAGAAAUUACUUUUCGAAACAGGCUGAGUGUUAAGUCUCACAACACACAAAAAUAUUCCCAAUACAUAAAAAGAGUUAAGAUCCACAAUAUAUUACAACAGCUCUGUAAAUACCUGUAAAUAAAGAAAAGCAACCUGAUUUUCAAAAACAGGCAAAGGACAUACUUAGGCCAUCUUUCUACCACCAAAUCUACAAACCUACCUGCAUCUCUGUGCUCCUAUCAUCUCCUUCCCUCCUGUUAAAACUGAGGAAGCACCCCUCUUCAUCAAAGGCCAAUCCUCCACUUGUGAGCUGCAUCCAUACUCUCUCCACUUCAAAGACUUUACUUUGUUAGCUAUUUCACCUCUACAUCAAUCUACAUCUCUACUGAAUCAUUCCCAUGAGCAUAUAAAGAAAAAGAAAACGAAAAAAAAAAAAAAAAAACACUUACUCUAGUUAUUUUCCAUCUUUUAAAAACCCUCCUUUGAGUCCAUAAUUCCCUGCAGCUACUACCCCAUUUCUUGGUUCCUCUUUAUUGCCAAACCUCCAAAGAACUGCUGCUCUAAUUGAUUUCUACCUACUUCACUGGCUGCUCCUUCUCAAUUCCCUUUGCUAAAUUCUUCCCCUCCACCUGAGUCCUCAAGGUCUCAUCUCUUCUCUCGCCCUAGGUGACCACAUCUAACAUCCUGGCAUUCUAUAAAAUAGAAAAUUAGAUGACUCCCAAAAGAGACAUUUCUCAAUUCAACUUCUACGUAGCUGUCUCACUCCUUCCCCAUUCCACUAUUAUUUACAUUCCUGCUUUUCUUCACCCUUCAUAUCCAAUAUAACAGCAACUUGUUGGUCUCAGCUUACUUCAUGUUUCACAUAGGCUGCCUCAGCAACA